rnacentral:rRNA from 1 species
CGCAAUGGGCGAAAGCCUGACGGAGCAAUACCGCGUGAGGGAUGAAAGCCUGUGGGUUGUAAACCUUUUUUCUCAAGGAAGAAGUUCUGACGGUACCUGAGGAAUAAGCAUCGGCUAACUCUGUGCCAGCAGCCGCGGUAAUACAGAGGAUGCCAGCGUUAUCCGGAAUCACUGGGCAUAAAGGGUCUGUAGGUCGCCUACCAAGUCUGGUGUUAAAGAUCAGGGCCUAACCCUGGGAAAGCAGUGGAAACUAUUAGGCUUGAGUAUGGUAGGGGUGGGGGGAAUUCCCGGUGUAGCGGUGAAAUGCGUAGAUAUUAGGAAGAACACCAACGGCGAAAGCACUUUACUGGGCCCUUACUGACACUCCAGACGACAGCUA